UACGGAGGGUGCAAGCGUUAUUCGGAUUCACUGGGUUUAAAGGGUGCGUAGGUGGGUAGGUAAGUCAGCGGUGAAAUCCCUCGGCUUAACCGAGGAACUGCCCUCCAAACUGCUUCGCUUGAGACCGGGAGAGGUGAGUGGAAUUCCCAGUGUAGCGGUGAAAUGCGUAGAUAUUGGGAGGAACACCAGUGGCGAAGGCGGCUCACUGGACCGGUUCUGACGCUGAUGCGCGAAAGCGUGGGGAGCAAACGGG
rnacentral:rRNA from 1 species